rnacentral:misc_RNA from 1 species
AAGUCGUAACAAGGUUUCCGUAGGUGAACCUGCGGAAGGAUCAUUAACACGUGUAUCCACGUAUAAACCUCCGUGCACUUAUUCGUUCUUUGGGGGGUUUCAAGUCCUGAAAGGGGCUUGAUUCCGUCCUGUCUUUCACCCCUUAAUUUUUUUUAAGGGGAGAUUGACGCAUCUAUUAACACUUCUAACAAAUUGUACUAAAUUCUGUUCUCAGCGAAAGCUGUUAACAAUCUAUAAAAUAUUGAACAACUCUUAGCAACGGAUAUCUUGGCUCUC